AGGGGGUUAGCUCAGUUGGUAGAGCAGCGGACUCCAAAUCCGCAGGCCGAGGGUUCGAGUCCCCCACCCCCUGC
rnacentral:tRNA from 1 species